UGGAGAUCCUUUCACGUUGGAAGCUUUUCUCUGCGCACCCAGAAUCUUCUGAUAUGGGAGAAGUCUGUCAAACCAAAUGUACUGAGACCUACUAGAGAUCCAGAUACUUUCUUUAUGCCUAAAAGGAGGCUGAGGAGGUGCAACUACUAGCGAACACUUGGAGGUCCAUCCUGUUUGAGCUUUAGCAUGUUUGCCAGCUACCUUUCAAAGCAGUAACUGGGAGAAAAGGAGGCACAAAGAAGAAUUUUCAGGGCAGCACAUCGCAAAGUAACAAAUUUCAUUUCCAAAACGCUUGUCGCUUCCAUGAUGGUCAUACGAAGAUCUCACAUUUCUGGAUGUUUGGGGUCUGUGGUCAGAUGUGAAAGUGGAAAUAGUGCCAAUUGUGUGACUGCUCCAGCCAAAUCCUGCCCCUUUGAAACAAGAGAGGAGAGAAGAAAGAUGCUCACUUUAGGGGCCUCCGCUCCUGUGUUGGCAGAGGCAGCACUUGGACUGUGAAAGCAGAGAGGUGUCUUUAUUUGGGUGAUGUUUGCAGAUGGAUGGCAAUAUUUAAGCUACCGUCUUCCAGCUAAGAAUAAUGCUGCACUGUGUCCAGAACAGCAUCAAAUACGUCAGCUCUUUCGGAGAUGAAGUUCUUCAUUAAGCUACAAGAUAUACUUACUUAUUGCAAUCUUAUGGGACACCUUCAAGAUUUUCACUUACAGAAUAGCUUUCCAAAAUUCCAGAACCCAGGCCCUCUGUGAAUUAUGGAUGUCUCCCUGAAGACUUGAUAGGAUUAGGUUGUAAGGGCUCUUGUAAUACUAUGUUAGUUUUUUCCCUAUGAAAUGUCAUGUUUAUAAAGUUUCCCUCUGCUGAACAUGUGUGUACUUGCAGAUCCUGGCUGGAGAAGUCAGACUCAGUCAAUGGCAUUCACAACUCCUUUGUCCCCCUCCACCCUGCUGUGUUCAAAAUAAAACAAAAACCAGCCUGACUCUCCGUCAGUUUGACUUCUGUCCAUGCAACGUUAUUAAUUGAUCCUGAGC